rnacentral:rRNA from 1 species
GAUGAACGCUAGCGGCAGGCUUAAUACAUGCAAGUCGUGGGGCAGCAGGUUUGUAGCAAUACAGAUGCUGGCGACCGGCAAACGGGUGCGGAACACGUACAGAACCUUCCUUGAGCGGGGAAUAGCCCAGAGAAAUUUGGAUUAAUACCCCAUAGUAUAAUGAAGUGGCAUCACUUUAUUAUUAAAGAUUUAUCACUCGAAGAUGGCUGUGCGGCUGAUUAGGUAGUUGGCGGGUAAAGGCCCACCAAGCCUGCGAUCAGUAACUGGUGUGAGAGCACGACCAGUCACACGGGCACUGCGACACGGGCCCGACUCCUACGGGAGGCAGCAGUAAGGAAUAUUGGUCAAUGGAGGCAAACUCUGAACCAGCCAUGCCGCGUGGAGGAUGAAGGUCCUCUGGAUUGUAAAC